AACAAGAAUUGGUGAUCGAUUACAUAUGCUCAAGGCCCAGGUGGAGAGACUAGCUGUCCAGGAAGCACUAAAAUUUCAACACUGCCAUGAUUAUGUUGCUGAACAAGCUGCUGGGAUUGUGCAGCAUGUUGACUGGGAAGCUCUAGGCAUGGACAAUUACAUGAGCUUUGGGGAGGAUCAUGCCUCUCCUCCAAGUCAAGAACCUAGUACUGAACAGCCAUUAGUUGAGAAGCAGAUGGAAGAAAAUAGUCAGGAUAGAUACUUCCGGUUGGGCUUUUCCAGGGAUAGUGGAAUUGUAUCGAGGAUCAGAGAUUACAUGGGUUCAACUGAAUUGAUGCUAUUCUCUGCUAGAUGUUUAGUUGCUAAUAGUAGGGUAAAAGAAAAUUUUGAGAAUGAUAGCUCCAUUGGAGGCUUGGAACAACUGUUGGAUGCCCUUGUAUGAGAGUCAGAUUUUUACUUCAAUUGUAGAGUUUUACUGGUUUAUAUUUAAUGCCACUAUAACUCG
rnacentral:misc_RNA from 1 species